GGUGUUUGGGUGGAGGUGUUGUGCUGGUGUUUGGGUGGAGGUGUGUGUGUUUGGGUGGAGGUGUUGUGCUGGUGUUUGGGUGGAGGUGUGUGUGUUUGGGUGGAGGUGUUGUGCUGGUGUUUGGGUGGAGGUGUUGGAGUUUGGGUGGAGAUGUUGUGCUGGUGUUUAGGUGGAGGUGUUGGUGUUUGGGUGGAGGUGUUGGUGUUUGGGUGGAGGUGUUGUGCUGGUGUUUGGGUGAAGGUGUUGGUGUUUGGGUGGAGGUGUGUGUGUUUGGGUGGAGGUGUGUGUGUUUGGGUGGAGGUGUGUGUGUUUGGGUGGAGGUGUUGUGCUGGUGUUUGGGUGGAGGUGUUGGUGUUUGGGUGGAGGUGUUGUGCUGGUGUUUAGGUGUUGGUGUUUGGGUGGAGGUGUUGUGCUGGUGUUUGGGUGGAGGUGUUGGUGUUUGGGUGGAGGUGUUGUGCUGGUGUUUGGGUGGAGGUGUUGUGCUGGUGUUUAGGUGGAGGUGUUGUGCUGGUGUUUGGGUGGAGGUGUUGUGCUGGUGUUUAGGUGGAGGUGUUGUGCUGGUGUUUAGGUGGAGGUGUCGGUGUUUGGGUGGAGGUGAACUCACAGUGAUCUGAGUGCGCUGAGCUGUUGGAAUGUGUUUAUAUCAACCCGUCUGAUCAGA